rnacentral:snRNA from 1 species
AGCUUUGCGCAGUGGCAGUAUCGUAGCCAGUGAGGUUUAUCCGAGGCGCGAUUAUUACUAAUUAAGUUCCCAUUUGAGGCACUCUGUCCUCUUUUGUACUCCCACGAUCUCUCCCUUUCAAAUAGGUCAUAUUCCUGUUAGUUCAUAACACAUCUGGA